UAUAUUAUUAUUUUUCGGGCCCGCUUUUUUUUAAUGUAGGUGUUUUCCGGNCGGGAAACCGGAGCUAAUACCGGAUAAUCCUUUCCCUCACAUGAGGGAAAGCUGAAAGACGGUUUCGGCUGUCACUUACAGAUGGGCCCGCGGCGCAUUAGCUAGUUGGUGAGGUAAUGGCUCACCAAGGCGACGAUGCGUAGCCGACCUGAGAGGGUGAUCGGCCACACUGGGACUGAGACACGGCCCAGACUCCUACGGGAGGCAGCAGUAGGGAAUCUUCCGCAAUGGACGAAAGUCUGACGGAGCAACGCCGCGUGAGCGAUGAAGGCCUUCGGGUCGUAAAGCUCUGUUGUCAGGGAAGAACAAGUAUCGGAGUAACUGCCGGUACCUUGACGGUACCUGACCAGAAAGCCACGGCUAACUACGUGCCAGCAGCCGCGGUAAUACGUAGGUGGCAAGCGUUGUCCGGAAUUAUUGGGCGUAAAGCGCGCGCAGGCGGUUCCUUAAGUCUGAUGUGAAAGCCCCCGGCUCAACCGGGGAGGGUCAUUGGAAACUGGGGAACUUGAGUGCAGAAGAGGAGAGCGGAAUUCCACGUGUAGCGGUGAAAUGCGUAGAGAUGUGGAGGAACACCAGUGGCGAAGGCGGCUCUCUGGUCUGUAACUGACGCUGAGGCGCGAAAGCGUGGGGAGCGAACAGGAUUAGAUACCCUGGUAGUCCACGCCGUAAACGAUGAGUGCUAAGUGUUAGAGGGUUUCCGCCCUUUAGUGCUGCAGCAAACGCAUUAAGCACUCCGCCUGGGGAGUACGGCCGCAAGGCUGAAACUCAAAGGAAUUGACGGGGGCCCGCACAAGCGGUGGAGCAUGUGGUUUAAUUCGAAGCAACGCGAAGAACCUUACCAGGUCUUGACAUCCUCUGACAACCCUAGAGAUAGGGCUUUCCCCUUCGGGGGACAGAGUGACAGGUGGUGCAUGGUUGUCGUCAGCUCGUGUCGUGAGAUGUUGGGUUAAGUCCCGCAACGAGCGCAACCCUUGAUCUUAGUUGCCAGCAUUAAGUUGGGCACUCUAAGGUGACUGCCGGUGACAAACCGGAGGAAGGUGGGGAUGACGUCAAAUCAUCAUGCCCCUUAUGACCUGGGCUACACACGUGCUACAAUGGAUGGAACAAAGGGCAGCGAAGCCGCGAGGUGAAGCCAAUCCCAUAAAACCAUUCUCAGUUCGGAUUGCAGGCUGCAACUCGCCUGCAUGAAGCCGGAAUCGCUAGUAAUCGCGGAUCAGCAUGCCGCGGUGAAUACGUUCCCGGGCCUUGUACACACCGCCCGUCACACCACGAGAGUUUGUAACACCCGAAGUCGGUGGGGUAACCUUUGGAGCCAGCCGCCUAAUGGCCAUGGGGGGGUUUGGCCACACAGCGACUUAGAGAAAGUGUUGGGGGGGGGGAAAAUAUAUAAAUAAA
rnacentral:rRNA from 2 species